rnacentral:rRNA from 1 species
UUAAGUAUUCCACCUGGGGGAGUACGUUCGCAAGAAUAAACUCAAUGGAAUUGACGGGGACCCGGCACAAGCGGUGGAGCAUGUGGUUUAAUUCGAAAGCAACGCGAAGAACCUUACCAGGUCUUGACAUCGAUCUGAAUGUGAUGCAAAAAGUCGCAGCCCUUCGGGGCAGAGAAGACAGGUGGUGCAUGGUUGUCGUCAGCUCGUGUCGUGAGAUGUUGGGUUAAGUCCCGCAACGAGCGCAACCCUUGUCCUAAGUAGCCAGCGGUUCGGCCGGGCACUCUUGGGAGACCGCCGGGGAUAACCCGGAGGAAGGUGGGGAUGACGUCAAAUCAUCAUGCCCCUUAUGAUCUGGGCUACACACGUGCUACAAUGGCGUAAACAAAGGGAGGCGAAGGAGCGAUCCGGAGCAAAUCCCAAAAAUAACGUCUCAGUUCGGACUGCAGGCUGCAACUCGCCUGCACGAAGCUGGAAUCGCUAGUAAUCGCGGAUCAGCAUGCCGCGGUGAAUACGUUCCCGGGUCUUGUACACACCGCCCGUCACACCAUGGGAGUCGGUAAUGCCCGAAGCCAGUGGCUCAACCUUACGGAGGGAGCUGUCGAAGGCAGGACUGAUAACUGGGGUGAAGUCGUAACAAGGUAGCCGUA